rnacentral:rRNA from 1 species
GAUGAACGCUAGCGGCAGGCCUAAUACAUGCAAGUCGAGGGGCAGCACGGUAGCAAUACUGGUGGCGACCGGCGCACGGGUGCGUAACACGUAUACAAUCUGCCUUUAACAGGGGGAUAGCCUUUCGAAAGAGAGAUUAAUACCCCAUAACACUAAAAGUAGCAUUACUUUGUUAAAGACUCCGGCGGUUAGAGAUGAGUAUGCGUCUGAUUAGCUAGUUGGUGAGGUAACGGCUCACCAAGGCGACGAUCAGUAGGGGAUCUGAGAGGA